rnacentral:rRNA from 1 species
GCCCGACGGCCGGACUUGUUGC